AACGAACGCUGGCGGCAGGCUUAACACAUGCAAGUCGAACGCCCCGCAAGGGGAGUGGCAGACGGGUGAGUAACGCGUGGGAACGUACCUUUCGCUUCGGAAUACUCCCGGGAAACUGGGAGCAAUGCCGAAUACGCCGUAUUGGGAAAGAUUUAUCGGCGAAAGAUCGGCCCGCGUUAGAUUAAGUAGUUGGCGGUGUAAUGGACCACCAAGCCUACGAUCUAUAGCUGGUCUGAGAGGAUGAUCAACCACACUGGGACUGAGACACGGACCAGACUCCUCUGGGAGGCAGCAGUGGGGAAUGUUGGACAACGGGGGCAAGCCUGAUCCAGCCAUGCCGCGUGAGUGUAGAAGGCCUUAGGGUUGUAAAACUCUUUCGCCUGAGAAGAUAAUGACGGUAUCCGGAGAAGAAGCCCCGGCUAACUUCGUGCCAGCCGCCGCGGUAAUAC
rnacentral:rRNA from 1 species